UACGUAGGGACCGAGCGUUGUCCGGAAUCAUUGGGCGUAAAGAGCGUGUAGGCGGCCACUUAAGUCCUGCGUGAAAUCUUGCGGCUCAACCGCAAGCGGUCGUGGGAAACUGGGUGGCUAGAGUGCGGGAGAGGAGAGUGGAAUUCCUGGUGUAGCGGUGGAAUGCGCAGAUAUCAGGAGGAACACCGGUGGCGAAGGCGGGUCUCUGGGCAAUAACUGACACUGAGGAGCGAAAGCGUGGGGAGCGAACAGG
rnacentral:rRNA from 1 species